rnacentral:rRNA from 1 species
AGUUCAGACUGCAGGCUGCAACCCGCCUGCAUGAAGUCGGAAUUGCUAGUAAUCGCGGAUCAGCAUGCCGCGGUGAAUACGUUCCCGGGCCUUGUACACACCGCCCGUCACACCAUGGGAGCCGGUAAUACCCGAAGUCAGUAGUCCAACCUCGUGAGGACGCUGCCGAAGGUAGGAUUGGCGACUGGGGUGAAGUCGUAACAAGGUAAC